rnacentral:rRNA from 1 species
GUAGUCAUAUGCUUGUCUCAAAGAUUAAGCCAUGCAUGUCUAAGUAUAAGCAAUUAUACAGCGAAACUGCGAACGGCUCAUUAUAUAAGUUAUCGUUUAUUUGAUAGUGCCUGUCCUACUGGGAUAACCGUGGUAAUUCUAGAGCUAAUACCUGCUGAAAGUCCCGACUUCGGAAGGGAUGUAUUUAUUAGAUUCAAAGCCAAUGCCCUUCGGGGCUUCUUGGUGAUUCAUGAUAACUUCACGGAUCGCACGGCCCUGCGCCGGCGAUGGUUCAUUCAAAUUUCUUCCCUAUCAACUUUCGAUGUUUGGGUCUUGGCCAAACAUGGUUGCAACGGGUAACGGAGGGUUAGGGCUCGACCCCGGAGAAGGAGCCUGAGAAACGGCUACUACAUCCAAGGAAGGCAGCAGGCGCGCAAAUUACCCAAUCCCGAUUCGGGGAGGUAGUGACAAUAAAUACUGAUACAGGGCUCUUUAGGGUCCUGUAAUUGGAAUGAGUACAAUUUACAUCCCUUAACGAGGAACAAUUGGGGGGCAAGUCUGGUGCCAGCAGCC